rnacentral:lncRNA from 1 species
UUUAAUUUUGGCUCUGUUUUGUUUUCCUUAGGAUAGAUUUGAAUCGUUAGGUGGGCAAAUCUUCCCAUGGAGAAAGUAGAAAUAGGGUGUGCUGGGUUCCCUGGGGCAGCAGUUCACAACAAAAUUUGUUCUGUUGUUUUAACUAGGGAUUUGCUUAUAAUUCAACCCCUUUUGACAUUUUGCUGUUUAUUCAACAAAGCAAGCUCGUAAGUCAUGUGGCUCGUAAGUCAAAGCAAGCUCUGAGUGAGUGGCUUCCUUCCCUUGGAGCUGCCUGUCUGGUGACCACCUCUGCCAGGUUUCCACUUCCAUGAACUCUGUGUGUCUCCUUCCUGAUUUUCCAUAUGCAAAUGCAAGAAACGUAGUACCAUUUCCUUUAUUUUCCCUUUUGUACACAAAGGGUGACAUUCCCUGCCUCUGUUUCUAAGGAUGUAUUGAACCAUAAACUUCAGGCUAUUAUUAAAAUGAAACCACUCUGAAUGGUAAUGUGAUUGUGAUGGUUAAUGUGUGUGUCACCUUGGCUAGGCUAUGGUAUGCUCAGCUGUUUGAUCAGCACCAGCCUACAUGUUGCAGUGAAGGUGUUUUCUAGAUGUGAUUAACAUUUAAAGCAGAGACUGUGAGUAAAGAAGUUGACCUUCCCUAAUGAGGGUGGGCCUUAUCCAAUCAGUUGAAGGCCUUCCAAGCAAAGACUGAGGUUUCCCAAAGGAGAAGGAAUUCCACCUUAAGGAUGUAACACAGGAACCCUGCCUGAGUUUUCAGUCUGCCAGCUUUCCCUGCAGAGAUCAAGUUUAAGAAGGCAAAAUCAACACGCUUACAUUUCCAGCCUGCUGGAACCAACUAGGCCCCCUGGCAGGCCCUCCUUCCAGGCUCCACAAUCACAGGAACUCAUUCCUUAAAAGGAAAUCUCUCUCUCUCUAAAUACAGACAUACACAUGCAUCCUAUCGGUCUGUUUCUCUGGAGAGCCCUCAUACAGUAGUUACAUCUUUAUUCUUAGGAGGCGCCUGCUGAGGAAUGCAAGGGUGAGUUGUUUUGACGUCUGUAACUAGCUUCCAACCGGUUCCACGAGAGAAAGCGGGCGGAGGCAGAGAAAUCACAACAUGCUACGAAGCGCUGGAUCCAGGUUUGGGAGAUUGUGGGGGCUCCACACCCUGAGAGUGGAAGGAACAUGGAGCAAACCCCACCCAGGACUUUCCCUCAGAGGUCUGCUCUGCUCCACAUUUGCUUGAAGCCUUGGUAUUUUGAUAACACCACUUAAGCCUCAGCUGUCUGGCCAGUUAAAUGAGACAAAUCAUAUGAAGCAAGCACAUGCUGAUUUGUAGGUCUGCCUUCUCACUGACCUGCUGUGGGGCAAGAAUUGGGUUGCAGCCCCUGAUCUGCACAGGAGUGCACAAGCAGUCUGCCACCCAGGCAGCUUCUGUGACUUCACAAUCAAAGACAUUUCUGAGGCUGAAGAUUCUUCCUUGACCUCAGCAUCCUCCUUCACAGUACCUACUGCAGGGGUGACUACUGCUGAGUACAGGAGCUGGGGGAGAUCUCGCAGGCAAAGAAGAGAGACAAGUGCGGUCCCAUGAGACCCGGAAUGCUUAUGGUCUACCCUGCAGUCAAUUGACAGCAAUUCUUGUUUGGAAAUCAAUGCAUCUGCACUCUGAGUUGCACUGGAUCCUGGCGGACCAGAGCUCUGCACGCUUUCUACUCUCCAGCCUGUGUGCAGAAGUUGUAAUACUAAAAAUGACAUUCUCCAAACUCCCUUGCAGCUAGAUUCUGGGCCUGAUUUUAUUUCAUUUUGACUAGGUGCACUUACUUGCCAUUUACAGGACAGAAGGGAGUGGGGGCUGCGCUUUGCCGUGUCUGCCAUUUCCAUUGUGAAGCACAGUGGAGAGGUCCUGGUUUUCUGCAGCAGUUUUAGCAAGAGGUCCUGAUUUCUGGGCAGUGGCUCUGUGAGUGUCAAGAGCAGGGCUUGGAGCAGCCAUUUUGCUCAUGAGCAAGUAGCAGACACUCAUAGUUCUGGGCCUCUUUUUGGUCCCUAGCUCCUAAGGCGAGGUAUUCCUGAAGCAUUUGGUUGUGGCUGGUUUUCCAAUUUCCUAAUCAUAAUAAAGGUGGGUGAUCUGAGAGCCAGAGGAAGCCCAGCAUCCUUUCUCCCCACUCCAUUGUCUAACUUCUUGCUGGAAGCACCAUGGGUGGAGUCAUCCGGCAUGUCCACUAGGCUGCCUAGAGUAGCUCUUUGCACAAUGGAACACAAUCUUGAGUGCAGAAAUGAUGCAUCCAUCUAGAAGACUCUUCAAAAGAGGUGCAUUUCUCAUGAGUCAGCCUGGACCUGCUACCCCAGAUGAAGCCCAGCCUCAGGGGUGAGGCUGCCCAACAAGUUCCUGACUCAGAGGAAGCCACAGCUUGAGUUGUCAUCGAUGUUGCUGUUGGCCCAGGGGUGAGUUGGUACCACCUAACACCCCUCAAGAGGAGACCCAGCCUCCUGCAUGAGAAUGGAGUAUUCCUGGGAGAUAGCAUCAGCAACUCCCUGAACACAGACGGGACCUGGCAGCGAGGACCGCAGUGCCUGAACCCUGUGAGUCAAUACCUCCAGAACCUGAGACUUCAAGUCAUUGCCCAUUGAGGGAUGGACUGCAUCACGUCUCAAAAUUCAACCAGAUUUCCAGCUGGAGGCCAGGGGAAUCUGGAAACAUUAAUCGCCUCCCCCAUUAAACAGAUGCAUUUGCUUUUGUAUUUAUUGAAUUAAUUUACAAAAUGCUGCUGUCUUGAGGGAAGCAUUCCCUGGAGCUUGCAAAUACCAGCUAAUACCACGUAGUUAAUAUUCAUUCAACUGAAGCAGUAAUGUCAGGGUUACAUUAGCACCAACUAAAGAAUACAAACAUCCAGACUUUUGAAUUCUCCAACCUCCAAGACCUCUGUGAUUUACUGUCUUUUAGGGUUCAAUCUAGAUAGGGAAAUUGGAUUUCCUGUCAGAAGUUUCUGUGCAGCACAUUCCUGAACUUCCUUGAAUGGUUUGAUGUCUUUCUGAGGUUUCUGGCGUCAGUCCCUAGGGCCGACUGCUACCACCUUGAAUCCAAGGGGACUGUUUUGGAGGAGAGGAUGGGGGAACCUAGUUGCAUCUUCCUGGUAGUGGGACAAGUUAGUCUAUGUGUUUUUCACAGUCUUCUAGAUGAGAGAAAUGCCUGUGGAGUCCAGCAUCCAGGUGUUUCUGAAAUUGCUCCCAUGAAUGAAGGCAUUUGCCUGCCUCCGCCAUCCCAAUCCUGCCUACCCACUCUUUCCUCUUCUGAUGAGAUCUUUCAGCAAAUCA